rnacentral:misc_RNA from 1 species
GUCCUUGAUAAGCACUCCAGAGAUUUCCGACUGUGAUGCAACCUGUUUUGAAGCACGGUAAUUUCAACUGUUGCAAGACAAUACGAGAUUAGACCGAAAAGCUUACCUUUACCAAUGAGACUGAGAAAGAUGCCAUUGACAUACCGAUGCAUAUGCACAGAUAGACGGAAUGACUGGUUUGAAUAGUCUUCAGGUAACUGCUUUGAUGGCAUCAAAACAGGACCAACAGGCCGUUGUCCAUAAAAAGUUUAAUAAUAUAUAUACAUAUGUGAUACACGGAAGUAAACUCAUGUAAAUCUCUCAAAAUUAGUUAGACUAUUCUUGAUAUUGUUUAAGAAUAUUCAAGAACGCGAGUUAGCUAAUUGUUAUACUAUAGUACAGUAAGUAUCCAAUUAAUGACAAGAAAUCAAUGUUUCAUUACUUAUCGUCAAAUAAGGAGAUA